UUUCCGUAGGUGAACCUGCGGAAGGAUCAUUAUUGUAUAACCGAGGUGCGAGGGCUGUCGCUGACCCGAAAGGUCGUGCACGCCCGAGUGCCCUCACUCACAUUCAUCUCACCCCUAUGUGCACCACCGCGUGGGUCCCCCUUUGGCUUGUUCGGAGGGGGGCUUACGUUUUCACACAAACUUUGUAUGCAGUGUAGAAUGUAUUUUUUGUUUUUGCGAUCACGCAAUCAAUACAACUUUCAACAACGGAUCUCUUGGCUCUC
rnacentral:misc_RNA from 1 species